AGGCAGCAGUGGGGAAUAUUGGGCAACGGAGGAAAGUCUGACCCAGCGACGCCGCGUGCGGGAUGAAGGCCUUCGGGUUGUAAACCGCUUUCAGCAGGGAAGAAGCGAAAGUGACGGUACCUGCAGAAGAAGCACCGGCUAACUAUGUGCCAGCAGCCGCGGUAAUACAUAGGGUGCAAGCGUUGUCCGGAAUUAUUGGGCGUAAAGAGCUCGUAGGUGGUUCGUCACGUCGGAUGUGAAAAUCUGGGGCUUAACCCCAGACCUGCAUUCGAUACGGGCGAGCUAGAGUGUGGUAGGGGAGACUGGAAUUCCU
rnacentral:rRNA from 1 species